rnacentral:rRNA from 1 species
AGGGCAUUUGGUGGAUGCCAUGGCAUCAAGAGGCGAUGAAGGAAGUGAGAGACUGCUGUAAGUCUCGGGGAGCUGUCAACUAAGCUACGAUCCGAGAAUUUCCGAAUGGGGCAACCCGCCUGGACAGACUCCAGGAAUCGUUAUCUGAAUACAUAGGGUAACGAGGCGAACGGCAUGAACUGAAACAUCUAAGUAGUGCCAGGAAAAGAAAACGAAGUGAUUCCCCAAGUAGUGGUGAGCGAACAGGGAAGAGCCAAAAACCCACGCUGUGUAAGCGACUAGGCGUUGCAGUGUGGGGGAAGUGGGAAUAAGCAGCUGAUAGCUAGUUACUAUCGGGUUGUGCAGUUGACGUAAUAGAACAGCUCUGGAACGAGCGACCGAAGAAGGUGACAGUCCUGUAUGUGGCACGUCAGAAGCGCAUGAUAGCUUGUCUCCCAAGUACCGUGGAGCACGUGAGAUUCUGCGGGAAUCUGCCCAGACCAUUGGGUAAGGCUAAAUACUCCUUGAUGACCGAUAGCGUACGAGUACCGCGAGGGAAAGGUGAAAAGAACCCCGGGAGGGGAGUGAAAUAGAAUCUGAAACCAAAUGUCUACAAUCGGUAGAAGCGGGAUAUACGUAUCCGCAACUACGUACCUUUUGCAUAAUGAGCCAACGAGUUACACCUAUGCUGCAAGGUUAAGUUUGGAAAGAACGGAGCCGUAGCGAAAGCGAGUCUGAUAAGGGCGACUAGUAGCAUGGGGUAGACCCGAAACCUAGUGAUCUACCCAUGGGCAAGAUGAAGUCUGAGUAACAUCAGAUGGAGGUCUGAACACGUGAGGGUUGAAAACUUCUGUGAUGACCUGUGGGUAGGAGUGAAAGGCUAAUCAAACUGGGAGAUAGCUGGUUCUCUUCGAAAUAUAUUUAAGUAUAGCCUCAUGGAAUAGCAAUCGGCGGUAAAGCACAGUUUAGGCUAGGGGGAGUGAUCUUACCAAACCUUUACUAACUCUGAAUGCAGGUUGUGUUGAACAUGGGAGUCGGACUGUGGGGGCUAAGCUCCAUAGUCGAGAGGGGAAGAACCCAGAUCAUCAGCUAAGGUCCCUAAGUGUUCGUUAAGUGGGUAAAGAAGUGAAAAUACACAGACAACCAGGAGGUUGGCUUAGAAGCAGCCAUCCUUUAAAGAAAGCGUAAUAGCUCACUGGUCGAGUGUCUUUGCGCUGAAGUAUGAACGGGGCUCAAACGAACCACCGAAGCUAUGGAUGUGUAAUUUAUUACACGUGGUAGAAGAGCGUUCUCAGCUGGUAAGCACGACGGUGACGACGUGUGGUGAGGCUGAGAAGUGAGUAUGUUGGUAUAAGUAACGAAAAAAUGGGUGAAAUUCCCAUUCACCGUAAGCCCAAGGAUUCCGUGAGAAAGGUUCAUCCGCUCAGGGUUAGUCGAUACCUAAGCCGAGGCCAAUUGGAGUAGGCGAUGGAAAGCAGGUUAAAUAUUCCUGCACCACUGUUAGCGUUGAGUGAAGGGGUGACGCAGGAGGAUAAAUGCACAAGACGUAUGGAUGUCUUGCUAAGCAGGUAGGCAGUGUUCAUUGGCAAAUCCGUGAACAUAAUGCUGAGACGUGAUGGGCGUGCCAAUCUAAAACGAACGGUACGUUGUGUUGAAUCCACGCUGACUAGAAAAACCUCUAACGAGCAAAACAGUGAUCGUACCGGAAACCGACACAGGUGGGCGAGAAGAGCAUUCUAAGGUGUUGAGAUAACUCUCAUUCAGGAACUCGGCAAAAUCGCCCCGUAACUUCGGGAGAAGGGGUGCCGUCGUCGUGGGUGUACCGUGCGUACACGAAGCGAUUGGCGGUUGCAACAAAGAGGCUCAAGCGACUGUUUAACAAAAACACAGGGCCAUGCAAACACGUAAGUGGAAGUAUAUGGUCUGACGCCUGCCCAGUGCCGGAAGGUUAACAGGAGGAGUCAGCCGCAAGGCGAAGCUCUGAUUCGAAGCCCCGGUAAACGGCGGCCGUAACUAUAACGGUCCUAAGGUAGCGAAGUCCCUUGUCGGGUAAGUUCCGACCCGCAUGAAUGGCGUAACGACUUGAGCGCUGUCUUGAUGAGAGACUCAGUGAAUUUGUAGUGCUUGUGAAAAUGCAAGCUACCCGCAGAAGGACGGAAAGACCCUGUGCACCUUUACUGCAACUUGACAUUGAUUUCUGGAUUAUCAUGUGUAGGAUAGGCGGGAGGCUUUGAAGCAUUAGCGCUAGCUAGUGUGGAGCCAUCGGUGAAAUACCGCCCUUGCUGGUUUGGAAAUCUAACCUCUAUCCGUAAGCCGGAAGAGAAACAGUGUCUGGUGGGCAGUUUGACUGGGGCGGUCUCCUCCCAAAAGGUAACGGAGGAGUUCAAAGGUCCCCUCAGGGCGAAUAGAAAUCGCCUUACAGAGCGCAAAAGCAUAAGGGGGCUUGACUGCAAGGCAUACAGGCCGAGCAGGUGCGAAAGCAGGAUUUAGUGAUCCAGUGGUUCUGAAUGGAAGGGCCAUCGCUCAACGGAUAAAAGGUACGCCGGGGAUAACAGGCUGAUCUCCCCCAAGAGUCCACAUCGACGGGGAGGUUUGGCACCUCGAUGUCGGCUCAUCACAUCCUGGGGCUGAAGAAGGUCCCAAGGGUUCGGCUGUUCGCCGAUUAAAGUGGCACGCGAGCUGGGUUCAGAACGUCGCGAGACAGUUCGGUCCCUAUCUGUUGUGGGCGAUAUCGUGACUAGAUCGGAAGAGCACACGUCUGAACUCCAGUCACUCCGCGAAAUCUCGUAUGCCGUCU